AAUGACAAAUAUAUAAUUGCCGCAAAAACAUAACUUAAAUUAAGGAAUUAAUGGCUAUUAUGUUAUUGCCACUAAAAGUUUGUCACUAAAACAUAUUUUUUUGUAGUGAACUAUGAGCAGAGACAUUCAU